UACAGAGGGGGCAAGCGUUAUUCGGAAUUAUUGGGCGUAAAGAGCUCGUAGGCGGUCUGUCGCGUCGGCUGUGAAAACCCGGAGCUCAACUCCGGGCCUGCAGUCGAUACGGGCAAACUGGAGUGUUGCAGGGGAGACUGGAAUUCCUGGUGUAGCGGUGAAAUGCGCAGAUAUCAGGAGGAACACCGGUGGCGAAGGCGGGUCUCUGGGCAACAACUGACGCUGAGGAGCGAAAGCGUGGGGAGCGAACAGG
rnacentral:rRNA from 1 species